rnacentral:rRNA from 1 species
AGUGAACGCUGGCGGUAGGCCUAAUACAUGCAAGUCGAACGGCAGCACAGUAAGAGUUUGCCUCUACGGGUGGCGAGUGGCGGACGGGUGAGGAAUACAUCGGAAUCUACUUUUUCGUGGGGGAUAACGUAGGGAAACUUACGAUACUACCGCAUACGUCCUACGGGUGAAAGCAGGGGAUCUUCGGACCUUUCGUGUUUGAAUGAGCCGAUGCCGGAUUAGCUAGUUGGCGAGGUAAAGGCCCACCAAGGCGACGAUCCGUAGCUGGUCUGAGAGGAUGAUCAGCCACACUGGAACUGAGACACGGUCCAGACUCCUACGGGAGGCAGCAGUGGGGAAUAUUGGACAAUGGGCGCAAGCCUGAUCCAGCCAUACCGCGUGGGUGAAGAAGGCCUUCGGGUUGUAAAGCCCUUUUGUUAGGAAAGAAAAGCAGCAGGUUAAUACCCCGCUGUUCUGACGGUACCCAAAGAAUAAGCACCGGCUAACUUCGUG